UACGGAGGAUGCGAGCGUUAUCCGGAUUUAUUGGGUUUAAAGGGUGCGUAGGCGGAUCGUUAAGUCAGUGGUCAAAUUGAGGGGCUCAACCCCUUCCCGCCAUUGAAACUGGCGAUCUUGAGUGGAAGAGAAGUAUGCGGAAUGCGUGGUGUAGCGGUGAAAUGCAUAGAUAUCACGCAGAACCCCGAUUGCGAAGGCAGCAUGCCGGCUUCCUACUGACGCUGAAGCACGAAAGCGUGGGGAGCAAAUAGG
rnacentral:rRNA from 1 species